rfam:Lepisosteus oculatus linkage group LG10, whole genome shotgun sequence.
GUUUUAUAUGUGAUGGUUACAGCUAAAAUCCUCGGAGUGUUGUAACCUGAAGGCUGAAAAC